rnacentral:rRNA from 1 species
AGGACGAACGCUGGCGGCGUGCCUAAUACAUGCAAGUCGAGCGAACAGAAGGGAGCUUGCUCCCGGAUGUUAGCGGCGGACGGGUGAGUAACACGUGGGUAACCUGCCUGUAAGACUGGGAUAACUCCGGGAAACCGGAGCUAAUACCGGAUAGUUCCUUGAACCGCAUGGUUCAAGGAUGAAAGACGGUUUCGGCUGUCACUUACAGAUGGACCCGCGGCGCAUUAGCUAGUUGGUGGGGUAAUGGCUCACCAAGGCGACGAUGCGUAGCCGACCUGAGAGGGUGAUCGGCCACACUGGGACUGAGACACGGCCCAGACUCCUACGGGAGGCAGCAGUAGGGAAUCUUCCGCAAUGGACGAAAGUCUGACGGAGCAACGCCGCGUGAGUGAUGAAGGUUUUCGGAUCGUAAAGCUCUGUUGUUAGGGAAGAACAAGUGCGAGAGUAACUGCUCGCACCUUGACGGUACCUAACCAGAAAGCCACGGCUAACUACGUGCCAGCAGCCGCGGUAAUACGUAGGUGGCAAGCGUUGUCCGGAAUUAUUGGGCGUAAAGGGCUCGCAGGCGGUUUCUUAAGUCUGAUGUGAAAGCCCCCGGCUCAACCGGGGAGGGUCAUUGGAAACUGGGAAACUUGAGUGCAGAAGAGGAGAGUGGAAUUCCACGUGUAGCGGUGAAAUGCGUAGAGAUGUGGAGGAACACCAGUGGCGAAGGCGACUCUCUGGUCUGUAA